AAGUCGUAACAAGGUUUCCGUAGAUGAACCUGCGGAAGGAUCAUUAACACGUAUCCAAACGUUAAACCCCCCUGUGAACCUUCAGUGUACUCGUACAAUCCCUGGUAAAUCAUCGCCGAACAGUUUUCGAUUCAGGGACGUCUGCAAGGAGCGUGCAUGUUGUGCGAGCAAGUGGCCUGGCAUCCCCAAGCAGUUAGUGUCUGAAAGUGUCAUUAACUGUGUAAGGAUGACGCAGUCACGAUCGUUGGAGGCCCACACGGCCGACGACCGGGUCACUGGGCGCAAGCCCCCCUAUAACAAACGCUGCUAAGCGCGGCCGCGAUAAUACGCAGUCGACCAAAAACCGAACAACUGUUAACAAUGGAUAUCUUGGUUCUC
rnacentral:misc_RNA from 1 species